GAUGAAGAACGCAGCGAAAUGCGAUAAGUAGUGUGAAUUGCAGAAUUCAGUGAAUCAUCGAAUCUUUGAACGCACAUUGCGCCCCUUGGUAUUCCAGGGGGCAUGCCUGUUCGAGCGUCAUUUGUACCUUCAAGCUCUGCUUGGUGUUGGGUGUUUGUCUCGCCUCUGCGUGUAGACUCGCCUCAAAACAAUUGGCAGCCGGCGUAUUGAUUUCGGAGCGCAGUACAUCUCGCGCUUUGCACUCAUAACGACGACGUCCAAAAGUACAUUUUUACACUCUUGACCUCGGAUCAGGUAGGGAUACCCGCUGAACUUAAGCAUAUCAAUAAGCGGAGGA
rnacentral:misc_RNA from 1 species